GGGAGUUUUGUCUCCUAUUUUCAUCUUAAAGAUGGCCAAAGUUGUUUGGUUUAGCAUUUCAAAAGCAAAAUAAAUAAUGCAUUUGCUUCAGUGGAAAAAAACCCAGGCAAAUUUUCCAAACGCUUAUCUAUUCUCUAGAUGUUUAUGGACAUAUUACUCCAGUUUUUAAUGCCACAUACUCAAACUAGCAAUACUCAAACUAGGAAGGCCAAGUUCUGCCCACAGGGUAGCUGAAGUGCACAUUUCAACUCAGAGUUCAUUUGCCACCAGAUCCUGAUAGCCAUCGUGAUACUUUCAAGUGCCCAGGAUUUUCUGUUUUUUCACUUAGAAACGUGAUUACUUGACCGGGGCAGGUAUAUUGUAGGUAACUGGGGUAGGGUGGGCACACGAACCAGUGGACAGGAAGCAGGACACAGAGAAGACGCUUCCUGCCCUGGUCUGGAACUCCUCAACUGCCAAUCUUUGCUGAGGAUCAAGACACAUUUGUUUCUGGAAGGUGCUGGGGGAUUAGAAGGGGUGAGUGGGAAACUACCAGGCAGAUGAAAUGACUUUGUUUCUUUCUCCCCCCUUGAGCUUCUAGGUUUUCUCCCUUAAAACAUUUUAUGAAGUUGUGACUAUUCAGUUUCAAGGGAAAACCCAAUCAAAAGAUUCCCCAAUCUAAACAUAUACAUUUGGCAUUUGGUGAGCCACGUCUGCUUUUCUCCUCUCCUUGAGAGUGACCGUAACUCCCUAUGGCCGUUUUGCUUUUCUCAAAUGCUCAGGUGGAUGCUGCAGCCCCGCUCCCCCAGCCUACUCUUAGCUUGUCUGAGACCUCUGCAGUGAGAGGUGAGCGCCUCAGCCCCAGGGGUCCCCUUCUACUGGGGGCCUCGGCUCCAGGAUCCAGACUUUCAGCUUCAUACCCAGCAGGUAGCUAGGCUGCCUGCUGCGCCUCGUGUCUCAGGAGGGAAGUGUUCUGUGUUGUGUUUGAUGUGGGUGUCGCAGUCACUAAGGAGACAGGUAAAUUUCCCAGUGCUGGAAUCAGAUUGGUGAGGAAGACCUGCUCCUGAGGCAACUGGCCUGCCUCCCGGCUUCUUUCUCCAAGGUAAUGAAAAAGCCAAGCUGGGAAGGCAGGCUGGUGACAAGUAUGGUCCCUGCGCAUUCCUCGGGCUGACGGCCAUUUCAAUUUAAGAAAACAAAAGAUGAUCCUGUGAACACUGUAUCAGGCAUCAUUACUGGACUGAAAAAAGGAUCACUUGAUGGACAUGCCUGGCGUUUUGUUUAGAAGUAUUUCUUCUCUGGCCUUAGAAGAUUAGUUUUCAAAGCGAUGGUAAAAUCAUUGAUGUAUGUCUUUUCAAGAAAAAGAAAAAAAAAAGACUCCUAAAUGCCAAACAUUUGCUCUUUGGAGCAUAGCAAGAAGAAAGGGAGAGGACCAGACGGCCACAUCCUAAGAACAGAGUAUUGUCCAGUGGGUGUCUGCCGCUUCCUCAUGCCUUGCUAUAAGAAAGCUCGUAAAAAGGAAGAAAUCUAAAACUAGAACAAUUCUAUAUUCACAGUUUCUCUGACAUUAAAAAGUACUCAAGAGAAGAGUUUUUUUUUUAAUUUAAAGAAACAUCUGUCCAACAUGGAUGAUUUUGAAGAAGAGCACUCCCCUUUGUCCAGAGCCAUAGAAAGAUAAUUUAAUUACACUUAUCAUUACACCCUCCCCAAAUUAGACUACAAAUGGAUCUUGAUUUCUCAUGAUUUUUUCACUUUACAAAAUAAUCUUAAAGUUUAGGAGGAAGAAAAGAUGCUUAAGAAUAAUCAAGAAUGCUUGGAAAAGAGGAAGAAAAAGGGAAAUUUCUCCUACUGAACCGGUAGUGCUGGGAAGGGAAGAGCGUGGUCCCUUUAAAUGACAGGGAAGUGGGGCAGGGAAGUGCUGGGUAGAGAAAGGCGAGGUCUCUGUCUAGGGCUCCACCCCCAGGGACCUAGGUGAGGACAGGCACUUCUGCCUUCAAGCCCAAAUGUUGCAUUUUCCAAGACCACCCUGGCCUGCCACACCCCCAUUCUGGGCCUAUAAAAACCCAAGACCCUAGCAGGCAGACACAAAAGCGGCUGGACGUCAUGAAGAACACAUGGACAGAAGACACAAGCAGCUGGUAGUGGAGAGCACACGGCGGAAUGACGCAGAGUUUUACUGGAGCAGGCCGCCAAAGGACCCGACUCCAGGGGAAAACCAUCUCCCUUCUUGCUCCCCCGUCUGCUGAGAGCUACUUCUGCUCAAUAAAACCUUGCACUCAUUCUCCAAGCCCAUGUGUGAUCCAUUCCCGGGAUACAGAAAGCCCUCUGUCCUUGUGAUAAAGAAGGGGGUCUAAUUGAACUGGUUAACACAAGCUGCCUAUAGACAGCAAACCAAAAGAGCACCCUGUAACACACGCCCACUUGGGUUUCGGCUGUAAACAUUCAUCCCUAGGCACUGCCAUUGGAUCGGAGGCCCACAGUCUGCCCAUGUCUACGUUCCCCUAGGAGGUUUGAGGAGCGGGUGGCUGAAAAAGCUAGCCACACCCCCAGCGCAUGCCCUGCAGGGGGGACAAAGGAAACUUUCCAGUUUCACUACCACCAUUAGAAUAUCUUACAAAGUCGGCUAGGCGUGGUGGCUCACGCCUGUAAUCCCAGCACUUCUGGAGGCUGAGGCCGGCGGAUCGCCUGAGGCCAGGAGUUCAAGGUCAGCCUGCUCAACAUGGCGAAAACCCAUCUCUACUAAAAAUAUAAAAAUGAGCUAGACAUGGUGGUGCAUGCCUGCAAUCCCAGCUACUCUGGAGGCUGAGGCAGGAGAAUUGUUUGAACCUAGGAGGCAGAGGCUGGACUAAUAAUCAUGCCCGUAUCUAAGCUAUUAUCUGUAAAAAGUUGUACCUAUUUGCAUUGCACUCUAGCCUGGGCGACAGAGCAAGACUAUCUUAUGGUAAUGGUGGCAUAGGAUUAAUGAAACGGAAUAGAAGUCCUAGAAAUAUUCCCAAGUAAAUAUAAGAAGUUUGUGUAUGAUAAAAGUGGCAUUUAAAAAUAAAAGGAAGAUGUAGUAUAUUAUUCAAUAUUUUGGUAUUGUGGCAACUGCCUAUUCGUUUAGGGGAGGAGACAAAAGGUAGUCUCUGAGUCAUACAAGUGAAAGUAUAAAUUUGAGGUUUAAUAAUAAGUAUUAAAAGGAAACAAUUAUAUAGAUGUAAUAUAUUUAUAAGUAUGAAAAACCAAGAAUAAAUUUUAGAUGUAAUAUAUUUAUACAUAUAAAAAACGAAAUGAUUAUUUUCUAAGAAUAUGCUGGUGGAUAUUUAUACAAUAUUGAAUUGGGAAAGCAUCAGUCCUGAGGCAAUAAUCAUAAAAUAAAUGAAUUAAGUUUACUACGGAAAUACUAAAAUUGUCUGCCCAUCAAAACAUACCAAAAAUUAUGACUAAGAAGAAAGGACAAAUUGGGUAACAUAUUUAAAUAUACAUAUACAUACAUAUAUAUACACACACACACACACAUAUAUAUAUACACACAUACAUACAAUAUGCUCAACAUAUAAAAAGUUUUAACAACUUUGUAAGAAAAAGAUUAACACGGAUAAUUUACAAAAGAAAAAUAAUGCAAUGAAAAAUAAUUUACCUACCUGCAUUAGGGUUCUCUUCGAGGGAAAAAAUAGGAGAUAUAUAUGUAAAGGGGAGCUUAUUAAGUAUUAACUUACGUGAUUACAAGGUCCCAAAAUAGGCUGUCUGCAAGCUGAGGAGCAAGGAGAGGCAAUCCAAGUUACAAAACUAAAGAACUUGGAGUCCGAUGUUUGAGGGCAGGAAGCACCCAGCAUGGGAGAAAAAUGUAGGCUGGGAAGCUAGGCCUGUCUCUCCUUUUCUGCCUGCUUUAUAUUCGCUGGCAGCUGAUUAAAUUGUGCCCACCAGAUUAAGGGUGGAUCUGCCUUCCCUGGCCCACUGGCUCAAAUGUUAAUCUCUUUUGCAACACCCUCACAGACACACCCAAGAUCAAUACUUUGUAUCCUUCAAUCCAAUCAAGUUGACAUUCAGUAUUAACCAUCAUACUAACCAAACAGCAUUUAAAAAUGUUUAAUACUCAGUAAUAGUUAGGAUGUGGAAGAAUGGGAAUUCUCACACACUGCUGAUUACAAUGCAAAUAGGUACAACUUUUUACAGAUAAUAGCUUAGAUACGGGCAUGAUUAUUAGUCCAGCAAUGCCACUUCUAGAAGUUUUUGCUAAGGAAAUAACCCUGGAUAUAAAUAAGAUUUAGCUAUAAAGAUGUCUGCAAACUGUUGUUUGCAAUAUUCAAAACAUUAAAAAAUAAUCCUGUAUGUAUACAAGAAGAUUAAGCAAUUAUUUAAAAUGUUUCUGUAGUAAAUAAUAUUUAAUAAGUAUUGUCAUAAUAUUUUGCCAAAUGAAAAAAAA
rnacentral:lncRNA from 10 species